rnacentral:lncRNA from 13 species
CCAGCCCAGAUUGAGUGAAUCUGAUUUUCUGGGGCCAGGACUGAGGAAUCUCAUUUAACCCAGGCCUCUGGUAAUUAUUCUGCUCACUGAAGUUUGAGGAUGAACCUCUGCUCUACAUUCUCCAGGCAUUGUAUAAUAGAGAAAUGGAAAGUUUUGGUUCAAAGGUCCCUGAAGUACAAAGAGGUCUAGACUCCUGCCAACAAUGGAAAGACAUGCAGGUUGGGGCCCAGUCAGACUCAGAGAAGGAUGCCAGCCCGAAGUGUGUUAACCCUUGCAGUGGACACUCCAAGGCCAAUAAAUGCCAGAAUAAUUUAAUAAGCCAUAUCUAUUUCUAUGACAUAACCAGUACAUAUUUCUCAGUAGACUGUACUGUAGUAAUGAUAAUAAUAAUAGCUAAUGUAAGACAGUAACUGUGAUAUCGUUCCUAUUUUAUAGAUGAAGGAACUAAGACAAAGAAAGGACAAGUCGUUUGCCCAGGGUUCACACUUAGCAAGUGGUAGAGCCAACAGUAAAACUGAUGGAAGCUGAGAUCAAACAAUUUGCUUCUCCCCGCAACUUACACUUACUUACAUGACAACAUGGUACAGCCUCAUCAAUGUAAAUCCCUUUAUAAUUUUGCUAUUGUAUUGCCUGUGAAAAAGAGAGUUUGCCAAGUCUGGCCAUAAGGACUACUGUAGAAAAUGUUUAGUGGGCACAUUCAUGAAUACACACGUUGAUUAUUUGGCCUGAGAUAUCUGGACUAUUCUCUUACCUGGGUUCAACUGCGUCUGCACCUGCUGUUACAUCAUUUUCUUUUUUAAUGACCACUUCACUUAUUUGUAAACACAGUUCUUAACAUUAUAUGUACUGUGAGGCAGUUUAAAUGAGAUAAUGACUCAGGUUUUGCCCAACUCUAAAGUUCUGUGAUCCUGUGAGAUUAGUUGUUAAAAAAAGGCAUUAGGCCUAUUAAAAUCAUCAAAGUCAGCGGAAGUGAUAAAAAUGUAUUGGCUGUCAUGAGAGGAAACAGCUGCACUUAUAUAUUAUGUAAUUCAUUUGUUAAGUUUUUUUCUUAACAGCAGUUUGAGUGUGUGUGUGUGUGUGUGCAUGAGUAGGUAUAAAAAUCUGGCAUUUCUAUUUUUAGGGGUUUAUGUCAGUUAGAAAUGCUUUUGACCACAAAUAACAGAAAACCUGACUUACUGUGGCUCAAACACAUAGAGGUUUCUAUUUCUGGCCUACCAAAAGGUCAGAGGCAGGCAGUUGCCAAGGAGGGUGCAGCAGUCCAGCUCAGCUCAGGAUGGACCUCUAGAUUCUCUUGGCCUUUCUUGUUUGGUCACAAGAAGGCCUACCAUAGCAGCUGUGUUAGGCCAUUCUUGCACUGCUGUAAAGAAAUACCUGAGACUGGUUAAUGUAUAGAGAAAAGAUGUGUAAUUG